rnacentral:tRNA from 1 species
GCCUGGGUGGCUCACUUGGUUGAGCGUCUGACUUUGCUUUAGGUCAUGAUCUUGCGUUCGUGGGUUCAAGCCCCACGUCGGGCU